CCACAUCUGCAACCGCACAAGUUGAGUUUUAAGACCUGAUGGCACUUAACAUGGCGAGUCUAAGUGUAGGG
rfam:Globicatella sp. HMSC072A10 Globicatella_spHMPREF2811-1.0_Cont1067.3, whole genome shotgun sequence.